rnacentral:rRNA from 1 species
AUUGAACGCUAACGGCAUGCUUAACACAUGCAAGUCGAACGGCAGCACAGUAGUAGCAAUACUAUGGGUGGCGAGUGGCGGACGGGUGAGUAAUACAUAGGAAUCUGCCUUAUAGUGGGGGAUAACCCGGGGAAACUCGGGCUAAUACCGCAUAAUCUCUACGGAGCAAAGUGUGGGACCUUCGGGCCAUACGCCAAAAGAUGAGCCUAUGUCGGAUUAGCUAGUUGGCGGGGUAAAGGCCUACCAAGGCAACGAUCCGUAGCUGGUCUGAGAGGAUGAUCAGCCACACUGGGACUCAGACACGGCCCAGACUCCUACGGGAGGCAGCAGUGGGGAAUAUUGGACAAUGGGCGAAAGCCUGAUCCAGCAAUGCCGUGUGUGUGAAGAGGGCCUUCGGGUUGUAAAGCACUUUUAGUUGGGAAGAAAAGUUCAUGGCUAAUAUCCAUGAAUGCUGACGUUACCAACAGAAAAAGCACUGGCUAACUCUGUGCCAGCCGCCGCAGUAA